rfam:Schistosoma mansoni strain Puerto Rico chromosome 1, complete genome
AUCCAGCUGACGAGUCCCAAAUAGGACGAAACGCGCGUCCAGGAU